rnacentral:rRNA from 1 species
AACGAACGCUGGCGGCAUGCCUAACACAUGCAAGUCGAACGAGACCUUCGGGUCUAGUGGCGCACGGGUGCGUAACGCGUGGGAACCUGCCCUUAGGUUCGGACUAAAUCCCCGAAAGGGGUGCUAAUACCGGAUAAUGUCUUCGGACCAAAGAUUUAUCGCCUUUGGUUGGGCCCGCGUUGGAUUAGCUAGUUGGUAGAGUAAAAGCCUACCAAGGCGACGAUCCAUAGCUGGUCUGAGAGGAUGAUCAGCCACACUGGGACUGAGACACGGCCCAGACUCCGACGGGAGGCAGCAGUGGUGAAUAUUGGACAAUGCGCGAAAGCCUGAUCCAGCAAUGCCGCGUGAGUGAUGAAGGCCUUAGGGUUGUAAAGCUCUUUUACCCGGGAUGAUAAUGACAGUACCGGGGGAAGAAGCCCCGGCUAACUCCGUG